rnacentral:tRNA from 1 species
GCCAGGUUAACCAAGUGGUAAGGUGACCGCCUCGAGAUCAAGUAUACAAGGUAGCGGUUGUGCGUCAAGCACCCAGGGGUUCGAAUCCCUUACCUGGCG